UCAAGAAGCGCCUUCCACGUCCCGGCUUUUAACAGGCCUUUUAAUAAUAGCAAGUGCUAUGAUUGGUAACAAUUUAUAGAUGAGGAGGCUGAAUUUUGGGGACGUUAUCAUGCACAAGGUGACCCAGCUCUUAACAUGUUAAGCCAAAUUUUAAUUCCAAGUUUGUCUCUAAAGUCAGUUUUGCUUCCAUUGAAAUAAUUAAGGAAAGGAGAGUCCAUGGAGGAAUUGUCUUCAAUAAUGAGAACAGGAGAGGAGUAUUACAUAAGCAUAUUAUACAAAGCAUGAGAAGGAAAUUUCUGGGCCUGAGCAUCAUUUGAUAAAAUAGGCUGUCAAGAAUGUACAGAAGUAACAUGUCUGGGGAAAUUACUUUGAUAUUUUCUAAAAGUCAAUCCUGGAGUGAAGUGAGAAGCAGAAUGACAACUCCCCAAGUCAGCUGACUACUGACAACUGCUUGAUAUACACAUAAGAAGAUGAAAUAGAUGAUGCUUUAGAAUGAGGCUCCCAACCUGGGGCAGCAAGA